GGGUUGUGAGGUUAAGCGACUAAGCGUACACGGUGGAUGCCCUGGCAGUCAGAGGCGAUGAAGGGCGUGCUAAUCUGCGAUAAGCGCCGGUAAGGUGAUAUGAACCGUUAUAACCGGCGAUACCCGAAUGGGGAAACCCAGUGUGAUUCGUCACACUAUCAUUAACUGAAUCCAUAGGUUAAUGAGGCGAACCGGGGGAACUGAAACAUCUAAGUACCCUGAGGAAAAGAAAUCAACCGAGAUUCCCCCAGUAGCGGCGAGCGAACGGGGAGGAGCCCAGAGCCUGAAUCAGCAUGUGUGUUAGUGGAAGCGUCUGGAAAGGCGCGCGAUACAGGGUGACAGCCCCGUACACAAAAGUGCAUGUGCUGUGAGCUCGAUGAGUAGGGCGGGACACGUGGUAUCCUGUCUGAAUAUGGGGGGACCAUCCUCCAAGGCUAAAUACUCCUGACUGACCGAUAGUGAACCAGUACCGUGAGGGAAAGGCGAAAAGAACCCCGGCGAGGGGAGUGAAAAAGAACCUGAAACCGUGUACGUACAAGCAGUGGGAGCACAGGUUUACCUGUGUGACUGCGUACCUUUUGUAUAAUGGGUCAGCGACUUAUAUUCUGUAGCAAGGUUAACCGUAUAGGGGAGCCGUAGGGAAACCGAGUCUUAACCGGGCGUUAAGUUGCAGGGUAUAGACCCGAAACCCGGUGAUCUAGCCAUGGGCAGGUUGAAGGUUGGGUAACACUAACUGGAGGACCGAACCGACUAAUGUUGAAAAAUUAGCGGAUGACCUGUGGCUGGGGGUGAAAGGCCAAUCAAACCGGGAGAUAGCUGGUUCUCCCCGAAAGCUAUUUAGGUAGCGCCUCGUGAACUCAUCUCCGGGGGUAGAGCACUGUUUCGGCUAGGGGGCCAUCCCGGCUUACCAACCCGAUGCAAACUGCGAAUACCGGAGAAUGUUAUCACGGGAGACACACGGCGGGUGCUAACGUCCGUCGUGAAGAGGGAAACAACCCAGACCGCCAGCUAAGGUCCCAAAGUCAUGGUUAAGUGGGAAACGAUGUGGGAAGGCCCAGACAGCCAGGAUGUUGGCUUAGAAGCAGCCAUCAUUUAAAGAAAGCGUAAUAGCUCACUGGUCGAGUCGGCCUGCGCGGAAGAUGUAACGGGGCUAAACCAUGCACCGAAGCUGCGGCAGCGACACUGUGUGUUGUUGGGUAGGGGAGCGUUCUGUAAGCCUGUGAAGGUGUGUCGUGAGGC
rnacentral:rRNA from 1 species